rnacentral:rRNA from 1 species
AAGCGGGAAGAGCUCAAGCUUAAAAUCUCCGUGCAAGUUUUGCGCGGCGAAUUGUAGUCUAUAGAGGCGUGAUCAGUGUGGGCGCUUGGGGCAAGUUCCUUGGAAGAGGACAGCAUGGAGGGUGAUACUCCCGUUCAUCCCUGAGUUGCUCGUGCGUACGAUCCGUUUUCUUUGAGUCGCGUUGUUUGGGAAUGCAGCGCAAAGUAGGUGGUAAAUUCCAUCUAAAGCUAAAUAUUGGUGCGAGACCGAUAGCGAACAAGUACCGUGAGGGAAAGAUGAAAAGAACUUUGAAAAGAGAGUUAAAGAGUACCUGAAACUGCUGAAAGGGAACCGAAUCGUUUCCAGUGUCUAUAAUCCGUGGUAUAUUUCAUUGGCGAGUGUGUGCGUGCGUGUGCUGUGGCAGCGGCUUUUUUGGCUGCGCUCGGCGUGUGUGCUGUGUGUGCUUGCUGGUGCCCUGUGCUGCGGUGGGACGUCAAGGUCAGUUCGUAUGCUGCGGGAAAUGGCCGCCGAGGAGGUAGGGCUUACGCUUGCGUUUGUCUGUUAUAUCUUGGUGGACGAGUAGUCGCAGUUGGGACUGAGGUGCCUACAACGUGUUUUUGAGUGGGCCUGUGUCUCUGUGUGCGCCGUGUGCGGAUAGCUUGCUAUGCGUGUGUGGUUGUGUGUGGAUUGAUGUGGGUUUUAACUUGUUGCCGUUCGGGACGUUGACGAAAUGGAGCGAUUUGACCCGUCUUGAAACACGGACCAAGGAGUCUAACAUGUGUGCAAGUGUUAGGGUGUGGAAACCCCAGCGCGAAAUGAAAGUGAAGGGCAGCGUAAGUUGUCUGAGGUAGGAAAUGCUGCGGGCUUCGGUCUGCGGUGUGGCACUAUCGACCGAUCAUGAACCUUCGUGGUGAAAGAUUUGAGUUUGAGCACAUAUGUUGGUACCCGAAAGAUGGUGAACUAUGCCUGAGUAGGGUGAAGCCAGGGGAAACUCUGUAGAAGCUCGUAGCGAUUCUGACGUGCAAAUCGAUCGUCAAACUUGGGUAUAGGGGCGAAAGACUAAUCGAACCAUCUAGUAGCUGGUUCCCUCCGAAAUUUCCCUCAGGAUAGCAGCAACUUAUUUACGAUAGUUUUAUGAGGUAAAGCGAAUGAUUAGAGGAUUCGGGGAAGAAACUUCCUCGACCUAUUCUCAAACUUUAAAUCUGUAAGACCUGCAGGUUUCUUAAUUGAACUUGUGGAUGUGAAUAUCAAGUUGCUAGUGGGCCAUACGGGGUAAGCUCGUCUGGCGAUGCGGGAUGAACCGAACGCAAAGUUAAAGUGCCAAAAUGCUCGCUCACCUAGAUACCAUAAAAGGUGUUGGUUCAUUUAAACAGCAGGACGGUGGCCAUGGAACUCUCAAUCCGCUAAAGAGCGUGUAACAACUCACCUGCCGAAUGAACUAGCCCUGA